UGGGAGGCCGAUACUCAAAUAGAGANAAGCUCUGCUCUAGUUGUCACUAGUCCUCCCUAUAUUAAAGCUGCCUUUCGAUGACCGGGACGAACUGAGAGAAAUCGUAACGGACAGAUACGGGGCAUAUAAUU
rnacentral:snoRNA from 1 species